rnacentral:rRNA from 1 species
UACGAAGGGGGCUAGCGUUGUUCGGAUUUACUGGGCGUAAAGCGCACGUAGGCGGAUCGUUAAGUCAGGGGCGAAAUCCUGGAGCUCAACUCCAGAACUGCCUUUGAUACUGGCGAUCUUGAGUCCGGAAGAGGUGAGUGGAACUCCUAGUGUAGAGGUGGAAUUCGUAGAUAUUAGGAAGAACACCAGUGGCGAAGGCGGCUCACUGGUCCGGUACUGACGCUGAGGUGCGAAAGCGUGGGGAGCAAACAGG